GUAUAUACUGGAACGAAGCUUCGGUUUAGAGAAAGUAUAGAGAGCGGCGGACGGGUGAGUAACGCGUAGGCAACCUGCCCCAUACAGAGGGAUAGCCUCGGGAAACCGGGAUUAAAACCUCAUAACACGAGAGUUUCACAUGUUACUCUCGUCAAAGAUUUAUCGGUAUGGGAUGGGCCUGCGUCUGAUUAGCUAGUUGGUGAGGUAACGGCUCACCAAGGCAACGAUCAGUAGCCGACCUGAGAGGGUAAUCGGCCACAUUGGAACUGAGACACGGUCCAAACUCCUACGGGAGGCAGCAGUGGGGAAUAUUGCACAAUGGGCGAAAGCCUGAUGCAGCAACGCCGCGUGAGCGAUGAAGGCCUUUGGGUCGUAAAGCUCUGUCCUUGGGGAAGAAAAAAAUGACGGUACCCUUGGAGGAAGCCCCGGCUAACUACGUGCCAGCAGCCGCGGUAAUACGUAGGGGGCAAGCGUUAUCCGGAAUUAUUGGGCGUAAAGAGUGCGUAGGUGGUCAUGUAAGCGCAGGGUGAAAGGCAAUAGCUUAACUAUUGUAAGCCCUGCGAACUGCAUGACUUGAGUGCAGGAGAGGAAAGUGGAAUUCCUAGUGUAGCGGUGAAAUGCGUAGAUAUUAGGAGGAACACCAGUGGCGAAGGCGACUUUCUGGACUGUAACUGACACUGAGGCACGAAAGCGUGGGGAGCAAACAGGAUUAGAUACCCUGGUAGUCCACGCCGUANACGAUGAGCACUAGGUGUCGGGGUCGCAAGANUUCGGUGCCGCAGUUAACGCAUUAAGUGCUCCG
rnacentral:rRNA from 1 species